AUGAAGAAACCAAGUUACAUAGAUGUAAAAGGUAAACAAAAGAAGACCUGUGCUCUGGCCCUGGUUUCGCUGUAGAACAGAGAUCUUUGUUGAAUGCCCACUCUACACCAGGUCUGCUCCUACGUCUGCGGAUGAUGACCUUAUCCCUCAUGAUGUGGAGAUCAUGUUACCUUAUCUACAAGGUGGGCUGAGCCGAACCCCACUGGCCUGACUUGCCCACUGAGAACCUGACAACUGCAGAUGUGUGCACGAUGAUGAGGUGGAUGGUGCUCAGUGAUGGUGUCCUGGGAUAGCACCAAGUCUGUCAGUUCUCCCAUGGGCAUGCUCUUGUCUCUGCCAUUUCUUCUGCUCUCCCUCUCUCACACUGGCUUCCUCCUUCCUUCCCUCCUAGGCAUCUGUCACCUGGAUUUCUGGUCUCCACCUUCUCUCUUCAGGCUGCAGCCAGAUCAGAUUCCACUUACAACUCUUCCAUAAAGACAAAGUACUCUCCAAAACCUUCCAAGUGCCCAUCUUUAUAGAGGAUCUAAACAUUUCUGCUUUUACGUUUUCACUUCUGUUGAUUACAGUACCCAAUACAUGGCUUUUUUGACCCUCCUAACCUGGCUCACCGUGCUUUUUGCACUCCUGCUCUAGGGGCAGCCAGCCCUCCUCCAGUUCUGCAGACGCAUCUGGCCCACACCUGCCCCUGGCCUUUUCUCAUGUCUGGAACCCUGCCUUCUCAUAACACAUUCCAUCCCUGCUUACUCUCCAGGAUCCUGCCCGUGUUCCACCUCUGGGCCAGUUCAGCCCUCUCUUCCUCUCACUCUUGAAACAUUUACAUUUGUUCCUGCAGACUUGAGUACCUAAUUACAUUCUGGCUUGUUCUCUAUACUCUCGUUUCAUCCAUGUCAGUAUCUGGCCAGCCCAACGCUGGGGACCUGGCGGGCACUGACUACUCAUUGAUUGAUUUAAAAAGUGCAUCCAGUGCUGGACCACGCCCUUAAAGAUGAAGGUUCAGGAAAAAAGGCAAGCACCUUUUAUCCCUCUCACCCAUGGAGGCAGAUACGUACCCAGCACAAUCUUAAUAUAAAUGUCACUGCAUCAUGGAUUUCUUUCACCGAUACCAAGACAGACCCAGAGAACCUCUUCUAAGAUCCUGCCUGAGGGGUGUGUGUGCCAUGGGACAUGCCAAGCCAUUUAUACAUGACUUAGCAAUGUUGACACAAACCCUGAAAUUUAAAAAAAUUUCAAAAUCAAAAUAAGGAGAACUGGUUGGCCUUUGUGGGUCUUUACCCAGUCUCCCCAAAAGACCCAGUGCAGUCCUGCAACGACACUCUCACAAGGAAAUCAUGGAGCCUGUUGUGUAAUCCUGGGUGUGGAGUCUGGCAUUUCCCUUUUCUGUGAGCGUAGGAUUUUGACUCUCAAAUCAUUCACUUAGUGGUUUGGUUUAUCAUGGAGCUUUAGCACGUUUCUGCUCUGAGAUGAAGUCAGGUGAAGUUUGAAGUGCCUGGCACGAAGUAGGCAUUCAGUGAACCGGAGUUUGUCUCCUCCUUCCCCCUUCUCUCUGCUCUACCCAACACCUCUGCAAAUGUUUGAUGUGCCCCUCACCCAGCAUAUUCCCUUUCACGGGGUCUUAUGGAUCCUCUCUUGACUGUUCGUUCUCCUGUCUUGCCACUUUCAGAAGAACCCCAGGCUACACAUCUCCACCCAGCAUUUUCACGAGAUAGGUUUCUUUUUCUUCCAUUUCAAUAGCAAAAUCCCUUACCUUGUGAUAUGUUAUCUUAAGUCCGAGGCCUGUGAUCUUUUGUGUGGCAGUCCCUCUGACCCCCCAGGUCCUUCCCCGUGUGCAAGGUCACACAUAUGCCUUCUUGUCCUCAUCUUGAAUUAUAAGAUUAUCCUCCCUGGCUUGCGAGGACGAGAUCCACUGCCUGAGGGAGUGGGGUACAGUGAUCUGAAUCACAGCUGAGGCCCUUAGUGACAGUCCCCAUGAAAAAAGAAAAGGACAAGCUGGGACAAGUGUGUGAAGGCAGACCAUCGUUGUUCUCCUGCCAAAGUCUGGAAUCUGUGGUUCAUGGGUGUGGACAUCACCCUGGUGCUCUCUGCAGAAUUGGUUAGAGUUCUAGGAGAGCAGAAUGACACAGUAAUGAGACAGCAGGCUCUGAAGCUGGACAUCCUGGCUGAACAGAGCUGUACAAAUCUUGGCUGUUACUUACGUCCAAAUAUUAACAAUGCUACCCACUAUGGCCUUGGGUAAAACUUUAACUCCCCUAUGCUGCGGUUCUCAUCUGGUCAUCUGGGAAGAUAAUAGCAUUUACCCUUAGAAUAGCACCUAGCACAUGGUAAGAAGUCUCCCCAGCUCUCAUUACUGUAAGUGAGGGGCGUAGAGUGCAGUGGUUAAGGACUGGGUGUCUGAAGCUAGACUGCUCGGGUCCAUAUCCCAGCUCCAUCCUGUAACUAGCUCUGUGACCUGAGCAAGUGACUAGCACUCUGCCUCUGUUUCCUCGUCUAUGAAACGGGAAUGAUCACGGUAUGUUAUCUGCCUAACACGUUGUUGUGAGAUCUAAAUGCAUGAAUACACGUAAACCACUAUAUUAAAUGUUGUUGUUAUGAAAGCAAUCAGAAAGCACCUGUCUUGACUUAUAGGUUUGGCUGAUCCAAAAUGGGAUAUUUAUAAAAUGUUCCUAGGUACCUCGAAGAAAAGCAUUGUUUGGGAAGGAAAGGCCAAGAUUCAGGAGCCGGUUCUGCCCCUUACUAGCAAGGGAGCCCUGACCUGUCACCUAACUUCUUUCAGCUGCAGGCUGCUCAUAAACAAGACAUCUGAAUUGGCCAUGAUGCCUUGGCUAGUGGUGGUGACCUCAUUGAAGAUCAUGCAGUUGUCAAUGUCAUCUGCAGAGCUGGCAGAAGAACACAGCAGUCCGAAGCAUAGAAACAGUCCGAGUGGCAGCAACAUGGAACUGAGGACUGCCAUGGUCUUGACCUGUUUGGAAACUGCCGGCCCCGAUACCACUGAGGUGGUGCCUGGGAGCUGCCCACACCUCCUCCAGAGGGGAAUUCACAGAUCCCAGGCUUCACCCCCUCCUUGAGCAAUGAAAGGAACUUCCUGGAGGCUUGUUUCCAAGAGAGGAGCUUAUUUCUAAGAGAGGACUGAGAAAAUGGUCACAAAGCAUCAUUGACCUGGAGGUUGGUGUGUGGAUGAUGGACAGAAGGCUGUGCCAAUGGCCUCUCCUCACUUCUUUCAAGGUGCCACCAGCGACUCUGUUGAACAAGGCGGUCCUGACUGAGGACUGACCCAUCUUACACUGACACGAGACAGAGUGGGGCGACACUGACCUCAGGUAGAGAGAGCACCACCUUGAUACAGGAUUCUGCAUCUUUUCAUGCCAGACUUUAGGAAUCUUUUACCAGAGGAAAUAGAAGAUAUCGGUCGGCAGUAAGGUAUAAACAUCAUUGGAAGACUGGUUCUCCACAGGCUUCUUCAAAGAAUUUAACAUUUGUUUAUUUUUAUAACAAAUUAAAAUGCAUCUUGCAUGUUGUCUAGGGGUCUUCAAAUAUCUUGAGGCAGGGGUGAAGUUUUAUUUGUCUUUUAAAGGAAAGUCUCCUGUUCUCCUAUGUAAUGUGCUUCUAAAAAUGUAUGUGAACACCAAUCAAUAUUUCUCAUUGUUUAGUCAAGAAUAAAAUGGUAUUUUUAGGCUCACAACUGUGUAGGGUAUAGACUUUUGUAUAUUUUUAUUUUCCUCUGUUCCCCCUUCCUACCUGAAAGUUUAUUAAAUAUGGGUUUAGGAUCUGGGUUAUUAUUAAAUAUUUUUUGUUUUUGUAUGUCUCUGGUUCCAGAGUAUUUUUGACACAUAGUCUUUCUUGUAACUGUAUUUAAACAAUUAUUUUAGACCCAUCUCUAUGUUUAAUUGGUUUCACUGCUCACUGCUGGUCCUUUUAUAUUCUGAU